rnacentral:sRNA from 1 species
UUAAAUAGAGUUAAGACCGCUGCAUCGUGCAGCAACAUCGAACCAACCCACGUCGUGUGGG